rnacentral:rRNA from 1 species
GGCAACCCUGACGGAGCAAUACCGCGUGCGGGAGGACGGCCUGUGGGUUGUAAACCGCUUUUCUCAGGGAAGAAGACCUGACGGUACCUGAGGAAUCAGCCUCGGCUAACUCCGUGCCAGCAGCCGCGGUAAUACGGAGGAGGCAAGCGUUAUCCGGAAUUAUUGGGCGUAAAGCGUCCGCAGGUGGCGAUUCAAGUCUGCUGUCAAAGCACGGGGCUUAACUCCGUAAAGGCAGUGGAAACUGAAUAGCUAGAGUGCCGUAGGGGUAGAGGGAAUUCCCGGUGUAGCGGUGAAAUGCGUAGAGAUCGGGAAGAACAUCGGUGGCGAAAGCGCUCUACUGGACGGCAACUGACACUCAGGGACGAAAGCUAGGGGAGCG